rnacentral:rRNA from 1 species
CGGUUGAUCCUGCCGGAGGUCACUGCUAUCAGUGUUCGACUAAGCCAUGCAAGUCAAAUGUUCUUCGUGAACAUGGCGGACUGCUCAGUAACACGUGGAUAACCUGCCCUUAGGAUUGGCAUAACACCGGGAAACUGGUGAUAAUACCGAAUAGACCAUUUAUGCUGGAAUGCUUUUUGGUUCAAAGGCUUCGGCUGCCUAAGGAUGGAUCUGCGGCCUAUCAGGUAGUAGUGGGUGUAAUGUACCUACUAGCCUACGACGGGUACGGGUUGUGAGAGCAAGAGCCCGGAGAUGGAUUCUGAGACAUGAAUCCAGGCCCUACGGGGCGCAGCAGGCGCGAAAACUUUACAAUGCGGGAAACCGCGAUAAGGGGACACUGAGUGCCAGCAUAUUAUGUUGGCUGUCCACAUGUAUAAAAAUCAUGUGUUAGCAAGGGCCGGGCAAGACCGGUGCCAGCCGCCGCGGUAACACCGGCGGCCCGAGUGGUGAUCACUUUUACUGGGUCUAAAGGGUCCGUAGCCGGUUUAAUCAGUCUUCUGGGAAAUCUGACAGCUCAACUGUUAGGCUUUCAGGGGAUACUGUUAGACUUGGGACCGGGAGAGGUAAGAGGUACUACAGGGGUAGGAGUGAAAUCUUGUAAUCCCUGUGGGANCACCAGUGGCGAAGGCGUCUUACCAGAACGGGUCCGACGGUGAGGGACGAAAGCUGGGGGCACGAACCGGANUAGAUACCCGGGUAGUCCCAGCCGUAAACGAUGUUCGCUAGGUGUCNGGNNGGUGCGACCGUUUCUGGUGCCGUAGGGAAG